rnacentral:rRNA from 1 species
CGGAGGAUCCAAGCGUUAUCCGGAAUCAUUGGGUUUAAAGGGUCCGUAGGCGGUUUAGUAAGUCAGUGGUGAAAGCCCAUCGCUCAACGGUGGAACGGCCAUUGAUAUUGCUAGACUUGAAUUAUUAGGAAGUAACUAGAAUAUGUAGUGUAGCGGUGAAAUGCUUAGAGAUUACAUGGAAUACCAAUUGCGAAGGCAGGUUACUACUAAUGGAUUGACGCUGAUGGACGAAAGCGUGGGUAGCGAACAGGAUUAGAUACCCUGGUAGUCCACGCCGUAAACGAUGGAUACUAGCUGUUGGGAGCAAUCUCAGUGGCUAAGCGAAAGUGAUAAGUAUCCCACCUGGGGAGUACGGGCGCAAGCCUG